GGGGCUAUAGCUCAGCUGGGAGAGCGCUUGCAUGGCAUGCAAGAGGUCAGCGGUUCGAUCCGCUUAGCUCCACCA
rnacentral:tRNA from 6 species